rnacentral:rRNA from 1 species
UACGUAGGGUGCAAGCGUUAAUCGGAAUUACUGGGCGUAAAGCGCGUGUAGGCGGUCUCGCAAGUCGGAUGUGAAAGCCCAGGGCUCAACCCUGGAAGUGCACUCGAUACUGCGAGGCUAGAGUCCCGGAGAGGAUGGUGGAACUCUCGGUGUAGGAGGUGAAAUUCGUAGAUAUCGAAGAAGAAACACCGGUGGCGAAGGCGGCCAUCUGGACGGUGACUGACGCUGAGACGCGAAAGCGUGGG